GACGUAGGGCGCGAGCGUUGUCCGGAUUUAUUGGGCGUAAAGAGCUCGUAGGCGGUUUGUUGCGUCGGCUGUGAAAUCCCGAGGCUCAACCUCGGGUCUGCAGUCGAUACGAGCAAACUAGAGUGUUGCAGGGGAGACUGGAAUUCCUGGUGUAGCGGUGAAAUGCGCAGAUAUCAGGAGGAACACCAAUUGCGAAGGCAGCUCGCUGGGACGUGACUGACGCUCAUGCACGAAAGCGUGGGGAGCAAACAGG
rnacentral:rRNA from 1 species